rnacentral:lncRNA from 1 species
GCAUAAGUUCGAUAGCUCAAAGUACUGGUUACGAUGUAAUUCCUAUUGUGGAAAUUGAUCAUUCUGCAACAGUAAAGGAGGCUCGCGGAUAUAAGAUUUUCAGAAAAAAAUUAAACAUUAUUUUUUAUUACAAAUUUUAUUCAUUACUUUAAGUAGUUGUUACUUUAUCACAUGGUACAAAAAUCAUUCCAAAAAUUCAAUUCGUGUUGGCCCCAGGUGACUUUUAAAAUGUAGAUAUCAUUGAAAAAGCUCCAAAUUAUCUCCCUAUGGUGCAAAAAUGUCAUUUUUUGGCAUUAAAAUUGAAAUAUCUUUUUUUUUAUUGUGGUUUUCGAAUAAGCUGUACAUAAACUACAUAAUUGUAAAAUAUAAGCGAUUUCUGUAGUUUAGUUCUUUUUUUAUUUCGAAAUUACCGCUAUUUCUCCUAUUAGUUCAACAAAAAAAAAGGACAUUAAUAAGUAUUCUUCUUUCGAAGGCAUAUUGUGAGCGUGGAUUUCGUGUGUACAGGUUAACCAUGAAUUCAAAUCUUCAACAAAUUGUUAACAUUGAAAGACUGUGGCAGGACAAAAAAAAUACACGAAAAUUAAUAAAUCCUCAUAAUAGAAAAAGUUGUGACACCUUUGAUUUUCUAAUAAUUCUCACGGUAUGAGACAUAGAUUCUAUGUCACUCCUAGCUUUUGUGAUUUAAGAUUAUGACGUAAGGGAAAGAUGUCAAUCCAGAUAAAGAAUUAAUUUCCCGACCAUGCAAGGGCUGUAAAGCCAGUCAAGGUAAAGUUUUUCUCAUACACUAAAAAAAAUGGCACUUUUAAACUCGGGAGCCUAAAGCGAGUUUCUGAAUCACCUUCAUCAUACACAUUCAAAUCGAAAUAUUUGAAAGGCAGGGAUGUAUAAGACUAACAUUGUAGCAUUAGUCUGCAUAAGUUCGAUAGUGUUUUGUAUCAGUAGACCUUUUGAUUUUUGUUAGACAAAAUUGACAUAGUUGGUAAACUCAUUAUUUUGGGCGAAUUCGUACGCGUAAAAAAAAAAACCAUUCUUACCGGAAAAGUUCUCGUUAAUUAACAUCCGGAAAUAUAUCGAAAAAAAAAAAAACACUUUUUUGAUCGAAAUUAAAAAAAAGAAUAAAAGCAUAAAUUUGGUGUUGCCUUUAUGCCAAACUUCAAAUAUAUAAUACGUACUACAAUUAUAAACAGGACGAUGAUAUGUUAAUUAGAUCGUGUACUAGAAGGACAAGUUUACUUUAUUCUCGGUAUCUGUUUCUUACAAACCUUCCGGCCUCUUACACUCGUUAUAUACACAUUUCCUUAAAGGAUGUAGAAACCUCAAUAAUGUAACUUUUGUUCUUCUAUAUCACAACAAAAUAUACUACACCAGUCUUAUAGGUCAGAGUAGGGUUGUCAUCACGGAGCAUUGGCUCACACUAAAGAGGAAGCUAUAAAGGGCCCCAUAAAUUACUAGUGUAAAGCCAUUCAAACGGGAAAACCAACAGUCUAAUCUAAAAAAAAAAAAAACGAGAAACACCUAUAAACCACAUCAACAAAGGACAACUACUGAACAUCAGAUUCCUGACUUAGGACAUAUUAACACCAGUGAACUUACGCUGAACGAAUAAAUUUUAUAUAUGAUACAAUGUUAAUACAAAAUCAAUAAAAUAAUGGAUGGAAAAAAAGUAAAAUCACCAAAAUACUGAACUCAGAGGAAAAUCAAUUCGGAAAGUCCUUAAUCACAUGGUAAAAUCAAAUGACAAAACACAUAAAAAACGAAUGGAUAAGAAC